rnacentral:rRNA from 1 species
AUGCAGAUCCAAGUCCGGUGCGGGUGCGGCGAGGCGGCGUGCCCGGAGUGGGCGGUGGUGGAGGUGCAGGGCGUGCUGCAGCCGCAGCCCUGCUUCUCCGGCCGCAUCCAGGGCCUCCACAUCGGCCGCCUCUGCUCCACCUCCUCCGCCCCGUCUUCCAAGGCAAGAACCACCAACCCUCCCUGCAUACUUGGUUUCUUGAUUUGGUUUGGGGGAUCUUCACGGCGGUCUUGCCAUUGCCAGGGCGGGUACACCUUCACCGUGGGGUACCAUGAGCUCGCCGGCUCGAAGGUGACUCUCAAGAAGCCCCUUCUGGUGCUGAGGAAGAAGAAGAACGACAAGGGGAACCCCGGCGAGCUCGGACAAGGUGGACAGGCGGCGGCGGCGGCGGAGGUGGAGCUGGAGGUGAUUGGCAUCAUCCGGCACAAGAUCCUCUUCAAGGACCGCCCCAAGGCCCUCAUCUCAAAGCCGGUGCCGAAGGAGAAGAAGGCCAUGCCGGAAGCGGCGACCCCAUCAACCGUGCCUCCCGCUUCCUGA